rnacentral:rRNA from 1 species
AUUGAACGCUGGCGGCAUGCCUUACACAUGCAAGUCGAACGGCAGCACGGACUUCGGUCUGGUGGCGAGUGGCGAACGGGUGAGUAAUGUAUCGGAACGUACCCUUCAGUGGGGGAUAACUAUCCGAAAGGAUAGCUAAUACCGCAUAUUCUCUGAGGAGGAAAGCGGGGGAUCGCAAGACCUCGCGCUGAUGGAGCGGCCGAUAUCAGAUUAGCUAGUUGGUGGGGUAAAGGCCUACCAAGGCGACGAUCUGUAGCGGCUCUGAGAGGAUGAUCCGCCACACUGGGCCUGAGACACGGCCCAGACUCCUACGGGAGGCAGCAGUGGGGAAUUUUGGACAAUGGGGGCAACCCUGAGCCAGCCAGGCCGCGUGAGUGAAGAAGGCCUUCGGGUUGUAAAGCUCUUUCGGCCGGGAAGAAAUCGCGUGAGUUAAUACCUUGCGUGGAUGACGGUACCGGAAUAAGAAGCACCGGCUAACUACGUGCCAGCCGCCGCCGUAA